AUUGAGCUCCUUUUCUGUUGAUCUGUGGCAGUUUAUGGAUUCACACAAGAGACAAUUCACAGACUAGCAUUAUUUUGCCUCCUGCCUUCAAAGGUAUAUUCUGCUGUUCUGUGAGACAUUC
rnacentral:snoRNA from 1 species